AAAACCAAAAGCAUUUCUAGGGCCACCACCAGCACCACUGGCAUCACCGGCUUCACCGGUUGUUCUAGUGCUACUAUCGUCUCCUCCAGACAUAGUGUUCUCACAAGAUCUUUACUGUCUCACUGUUAAGUGAAAGUAACAGACCAGAGCUCUAGAUACCAAUUGAAGGUGUGAAAACACAAGAAGGGGGGGUUGAAUUGUGUUUUAGUCAAGUUUAAAACUAUUUCAAGUUCUUAACUUAACUACAACAGCAGCGGAUAAAUAACACAAUAAAACAAGUUAAGAGAGAGAGAGAGAUCACACAAGCAAUUUAUACUGGUU
rnacentral:lncRNA from 1 species